ensembl:lncRNA
CCCUGUUCUGGAGUCCAAGAGGUCUAACACACGGUAUCAGAUAGGUGAAAUUUGUAAAUUAUCACAAUGGCCAAUGUUUUUUAAUCAAUCCAACUGAAAACAAACAGACACGUAGAGAAAACCAUCUGUACAGCUUGAAGAGGCAAUUUAUUUGUUCUCUAAACACGGUGUGCGUGACAGAGGUGUCAAGCUGUCCUGACCCCAAAGACAGAUCCACACAACAACCUCUAACAUCAACAUAACUAGCCAACUUUACCAGCAAAUUCAAGCCCCUAACAAUGCUGCUGUAAUGUUUUCCAGAAUUUUCAAGACAGUCACCUUGGAUCCAAAUCACAUACAAGCUUGCAGAGCCAAUACAAUAUUUUUCAAAAACAAUAUAAACAACUUAUCUUAAAUAAACAAAGUGAAAAUAUGUUGUUUCUUUAUGCCUCCACAAAAACAAAAAAACAUACACAUGUGGUGUGUAUGAAUAAAUAAAAGUAAUAUAAUUAUAAAACAAAUAUUAUGUAUACACAAUAUACUUUUAUAUUUAAUUUCUUUAAAGUGAUUAUCCCACACUGGCCAGCAGAAUUCAAGCGAUCACUUGACACAAUAAAAUAAGAAAAUACAUGUUUAAUAAUAUUUUUUGGCAGUGCCAUCUGGUCUCUAUUUGAUAUUUUUCAUAGAUAGCAUAAUUUUGUCUGUUUUAAACUAGCGUUCAAUAAAUGUCCUUCUAUUCACAUAUUUUUCAGUGCAAGUAUGGCAGAGAGACAAAGGACAAUUUAACUUGAUGUUCAACACUAGUCUUUUCUUAUCACCUUUUGUAUAACCAUACUUUGGAUUAACUCAGUUAUAUGGAUUGAAACACAUAAUCAAUAGAUAACAUCAAAAAGCCAAGGUCACUUGCACAUAUAUAUGCAGCAUUGAUUAUUUACCUUGGAUUUAACUACAGUGUAUCUACACUGCAUUAUAUAACUAAAUAGGAUGAAGAAAUAAGUAAUAAAAUAAUUUCCAUGUUCUACAAGCAAACCAAUUCAAUAUUUCAUUUAGCUAUCUCUACCAUAUGAUUUUGUGUCUACACUAUCUUCAACACUUUAUUCUCAACAGCAGGUAUAUUACAAAGUGGAGACAAAAAAAGCACUUUAACGGCACAAAAUCACAGUACCGGAAUGUAAAGUAUGUCCAACAAACUACGCAAGCGCAUACAUCAUUUUCAAUCAUACGUAUUACACAACCACUUCUGUGAACUUAAAAAUAAACCCACGCACCCUUUCACAAAACACACUCACACAGUGGCAUACAUGAACACACACACAAAAAGGUUACAGUACAACACCCCACACCUUCCUAAUCUAACAGAACUGCCCAUAGGUACAAAGUUUUUAGGAUGGUAGGUCACAAGCUAACAACCCAACACAUUACCACAGAACAGUGUAAGCUAAUCACCGUCACCAGUACAGAAUAAGGGAAGAGAGGGCACAUGAGAGAGAGAGAGAAAGGGGUGUACAGGAGAAGUGAGGAUGAAAGGAAUAUUUUUGAACUGGAAACACCAGACUCUAAAGACAAAAACACCACGUUUUACCUUAUUUUUUUAAUCAUAUGGCAUUUAAGUGACCUUGUAGGCUGAAACCCAGGUAGUUAUACUGACAGGACUUGCCGAGGGGAGGUGCACUCACAACUCACAAGGGUUUAGGGGUGGUUUACAUGUACCAAUAUGUGCUACAAUAAACAUUUUAGAACUCUGUCUAACAAAGGAUUUUGGUGGAAUCACAUUUAUUCACGGUUGUUUAUCUGCACCUCCUUGGCCCAAUUCCUAUUUAAAUCAUGCACAUAUUGAGGAACAAAAUAGAUUUUUCUAUGAUAAACAGAACUCUGAGAGAAUGUGGAUAGUAAUAGACAACACUUUUUUUAAAUGUAGGACUCCCUAUGGGAGUUUAACAUACUGUUUACCUCAUCAUGAUACAGCAUUUCUUCAUGCUCAAACACAUGCUGUUUUCUAAGCCACCAGGGCUAAUAUAGAGGGGUUAAUAUUAUAGUGCUUUAUAAUAUCUGUCAAACAACAUAUGGAACCAAAAUGGUUGCCAUAUAACUCUGCAUUGGAUUUGAUGACGAUCUGUAGGAUCUCUUCAGAUAUGAAUAAUGCUCCCUGUAUUUUGAAAGCCUGAGAGGGAAAGGUGAUAGAAUGAGAGAAAUGACAGAAAAUGCAUGGAGAUAUACAUUUGAAAACGUACAAAGACAAAUUAACGUAGCCACAGUCCUGAACAAAAUGGCUUUGGAAUUGUAAAUAUUCAAUAAUGGAAAAGGAACAGCACAGUUGAUAAUGUCAGAUUUGGUCAUGUAAGAGCAGAAUAACAAGGACUCCAUCACAACCGUGAGUCCCCAGCAUCAGCUGAGGGCUUCUUCUCUCCACCCAUACCCUCUAGGGCCUUGUCAGAGGAAGGGCCAUCAGUGUUGGGGGCCGAAGCCUCACCAGAGUCGCACUGCAGGUUCAGGCCUCUCAUUUGGGACAGCACAGGGCUUCCACUGCGGCUUCGGCUAUGGCUACGUCGGGCUCUGUGUUUCUUCUUGUGGGGGCUGGGACUGCGGGAUUUUGUUGUCAUACCAACCACAGUGCUGUCAUCCUCAGAUGUGAAUUCAGAGCUGUCGUCAGAUGGGCUACCGGCAAGGCUGGAGGUGGGCAGCUGGAUCUGUAGUUGGAGAGAUGAGGAAGAGGAGGAGAGAAAAAGUAAGUAACAAAUAUUGAAAGAGGUGAGUUAGAAUGGGAGGGAGCAGAAGAAUCAAGAGAUUUAAAUAUACUGUGUACACUCACCUAAAGGAUUAUUAGGAACACCA